UCUUAAAACAACUAAAACUCUGUUAUUUUUUUUUCCAUGUCCGAAUAUGUUUUUUCACUUACGUUUUCAAGUCAAAACUGUUUAUAGUUCCUAGUUCCCACAUCCUCAGAGACAAACAUAGAAGCAUGCAUCAUCACCCUUAAAGAUGGCAGUGAAACGAGAGAAGCUUGAUUCGUGUGUGUAUUCUCUCGUCUAUGGCUUUCAUCAUCCGUCUUAAUUGGUGCAGUAUAAUCUCUAAGUAUUUUUAUUAAUGUUAGGAUAUAAAUGGGAAUGAAUGAUGUAUAGAGUUAUAUAUUAGAUGUAUGUAUAUGUAUAGGACCAUUGUAUGCGUGUUGUGUGUUAGAUGUAUGAAUAAGGUUAUUGUG